rnacentral:lncRNA from 1 species
AAAGUGAGACCAGGGCUUUAGUUAAAGCCUUCAGUUACCCAGGGGAAGGUGAAGCCUGAGUUGUGGUGAUGAAUCCGGGAGGCCUCUGCUGGGAUCUUGUCAGGGCGCUAGAGCUGCCUUUGCUCCAAGGCGAGGCGCCGGCGGCAGGGCAGGGCCGGGCCCCUGGAGCACCGUAUGUAGCAGUGUGCGAGCGGCGACGACAGCGGGAGCCGGGCGUGGCGCCCCCGCCGCUGGGAUUACAGGUGUGAGCCACCAUGCCCAGCUGCUAACCGAUAGAGAAUUUAUGCUGAAACAAC